UACGUAGGGGGCAAGCGUUGUCCGGAAUGAUUGGGCGUAAAGGGCGCGUAGGCGGCCUGGUAAGUCUGGAGUGAAAGUCCUGCUUUUAAGGUGGGAAUUGCUUUGGAUACUGCUGGGCUUGAGUGCAGGAGAGGUAAGUGGAAUUCCCGGUGUAGCGGUGAAAUGCGUAGAGAUCGGGAGGAACACCAGUGGCGAAGGCGACUUACUGGACUGUAACUGACGCUGAGGCGCGAAAGUGUGGGGAGCAAACAGG
rnacentral:rRNA from 1 species